UCAUAAAACCCUAGUUUGUUGCUAUAAAUAGAGGAAUAGAAAGGGAAUUAAGCCACCACAACAUUACACACAAAAAAAGCAACAAAUACAUACAAAAAGUGUCAAAGUUCUCUCUUCAGCAUUGUUGAGAGUUUUUUCACCUUAAAGGAACUAUGAACUCCUUGCUUCCUAGCAGAGCAUUUCCUUCACUCGAGUUACCACCCUUCCAUCAACCUUCACACCACUUGCCAUCACCAUGAGCUCCAUUACCAUUUUCAUUAUUGAGCUCACUUGAACACUUCAUCCCCACCUUUUAUCCACCACCACAACUGCGUCAUUCACAUCAUAGCCUCAAAAUGGAAACCCAAUAAAUCAAAUUAGAUUGGAUUUCAAAGAGAACUCAGAAGAGGAAUGAAAACAAAAGCAUAAAUAACCAAAAAGGAGAUAAGAUUCAAACUUACCUCGCUUUUUUGAGUCGCCGGAAACUGGGUUUCGCUCGCCGAAAUCUUCAUCCCUGUCCAGAAUCUUCAUCAAAAACUUAAAUUUUCCGCCUGAAAACUCAUCAAGCUUGCAAGAAUCUAGAAUUCUGUUUGGUAAUUUUCUUUGUUUUUUUUGCUCGUUUCUUCCAGUGUUCCAUUUUUGCACUAUGUAUAAACCUUUUCCCCUUGAUUUCGCACGUUAAUUCUUCCCAAUUCUUGCAAUCAGAGAACAUUUGGUUUUUUUUUAAGGUUUUCGAGGUUCUUGAUUUUUCCUGUUUAGUUUCCAUAUUUUUUAUGAUUGUCUAAAAUUUGUUUUGAAAGAGAAAAUUGUGGGCUGAAUGUUGAACUUGUGUUGUUUUUAUAGAAAAUUUUGAGAAAAAAGAUUUGUGCGAUGAAUGUUGAAGUCAUGUUAUUUCUAAAAGUCGAGGAAUAAAAUUAUGAGACGGGGGAAGGCACGUGUGUUUGUUGCUAGGAAAUUUGAGAGGAGAAAGGUUUAGCCAUUUAAGUGCAAGAGGCAGUCACCUUCCCGCAUGUGGUCUGCCUCUUUUCUUUCAAAUUAAGUUAGGUUUUUUUUUUGUAAUAGGUUAUUAGAUUGGGCCUAAGGCCAUGGAUCCAUUCCAACACCCAUUUGUUGCUCUUUUGACCCCCUCUUUCGUUAGAUCAAUGCUUAUUGGGCCUCAGACCUAGUGAUAUGCUCUUCACAUUCCCUCCUUACUUUCUCACACACCCUACUGGUAUGGUGAAAGAAACUGGGCCCCUUGGGCCUGGGUGCGUGCAACCUCCCUAGUUUUUUUGUUUGUUUUUAUUAGUUUAUCUUGUUUUGUUAGGCCCAUAAGCCCUUUUGUUCAUCCAAGCCCCCUUUGUCUUUG
rnacentral:lncRNA from 1 species